UGGCGGACGGGUGAGUAAUGUCUGGGAAACUGCCUGAUGGGAGGGGAUAACUACUGGAAACGGUAGCUAAUACCGCAUAACGUCGCAAGACCAAAGAGGGGGACCUUAGGGCCUCUUGCCAUCGGAUGUGCCCAGAUGGGAUUAGCUAGUAGGUGGGGUAAAGGCUCACCUAGGCGACGAUCCCUAGCUGGUCUGAGAGGAUGACCAGCCACACUGGAACUGAGACACGGUCCAG
rnacentral:rRNA from 1 species